rnacentral:rRNA from 1 species
UACGUAGGGGGCAAGCGUUGUCCGGAAUUAUUGGGCGUAAAGCGCGUGUAGGCGGCUCGGUAAGUCUGCUGUGAAAGUCCAAGGCUCAACCUUGGAAAGCCGGUGGAUACUGUCGAGCUCGAGUCCGGAAGAGGCGAGUGGAAUUCCUGGUGUAGCGGUGGAAUGCGCAGAUAUCAGGAGGAACACCAAUAGCGAAGGCAGCUCGCUGGGACGGUACUGACGCUAAGGCGCGAAAGCGUGGGGAGCGAACAGG